UACGUAGGGGGCGAGCGUUGUCCGAAGUUACUGGGCGUAAAGCGCGCGUAGGCGGGGGGUUAAGUGAGAGGUGAAAGGCUGGGGCUCAACCUCAUGCAGUGCCUCUCAUACUGGCCUUCUUGAGGGCGGUAGGGAGAAGUGGAAUGGCUGGUGUAGCGGUGAAAUGCGUAGAUAUCAGUCGGAACACCGGUGGCGAAGGCGGCUCUCUGGUCCACAACUGACGCUGAGGUGCGAAAGCUAGGGGAGCAAACGGG
rnacentral:rRNA from 1 species